ensembl:lncRNA
GUCCCUUUAGCUGAGCUGAUUUAAAAAAUGUAAAGGCUAAACUCGAUGCUCAGAAGAGUGAGUUGUGUGAGAGUUCGCAUGUCCAGCUGAUUUACCUACGAAUUAAGGAUAUUUGAAUGAACAGAAUUAGGAGAGGGAGGGAGAGGGGGGGAUUUCAGCUUUGGUUUGUCUAGGAAAAUUUGCUGAAUAAAUGUGUGAAAAGAAGCCCCUGAGGUGGAGUCCAAGUCAAGUCUCAAGUCUGUGAGGUGGAGUCCAAGUCAAGUCUCAAGUCCCUGAGGUGGAGUCCAAGUCAAGUCUCAAGUCUGUGAGGUGGAGUCCAAGUCCUGGAGGUGGAGUCCAAAUCAAGUCUCAAGUCCCUGAGGUGGAGGUCAAGUCAAGUCUCAAGACUGUGAGGUGGAGUCCAAGUCAAGUCUCAAGUCUGUGAGGUGGAGUCCAAGUCAAGUUCUGGCUGAAGAACAGCAG